rnacentral:snRNA from 1 species
GUGCUUGCUUCGGCAGCACAUCUACUAAAAUUGGGACAAUACAGAGAAGAUUAGCAUGGCCCCUGCACAAGGAUGACAUGCAAAUUCACAAAGUGUUCUGUAUUUAA